rnacentral:rRNA from 1 species
AGAUUGAACGCUAGCGGGAUGCUUUACACAUGCAAGUCGAACGGCAGCGCGGACUUCGGUCUGGCGGCGAGUGGCGAACGGGUGAGUAAUAUAUCGGAACGUGCCCAGUAGCGGGGGAUAACUACGCGAAAGCGUGGCUAAUACCGCAUACGCCCUACGGGGGAAGGGGGGAUUCUUCGGAACCUCUCACUAUUGGAGCGGCCGAUAUCAGAUUAGCUAGUUGGUGAGGUAAAGGCUCACCAAGGCGACGAUCUAUAGCUGGUUUGAGAGGACGACCAGUCACACUGGAACUGAGACACGGUCCAGACUCCUACGGGAGGCAGCAGUGGGGAAUAUUGGACAAUGGGCGAAAGCCUGAUCCAG